rnacentral:tRNA from 1 species
GGGGUUGUAGCUCAGCGGUAGAGCAACGGAUUUCUAACUCGCUGGUCAUGGGUUCGAAUCCCAUCAUCUCCACCA